CCUACGGGUGGCUGCAGUGAGGAAUCUUGGUCAAUGGGCGCGAGCCUGAACCAGCAACGUAGCGUGAAGGAUGACUGCCCUACGGGUUGUAAACUUCUUUUAUAAAGGAAUAAAGUGAGGCACGUGUGCCUUCUUGUCUGUACUUUAUGAAUUAGGAUAGGCUAACUACGUGACAGCAGCCGCGGUAAUACGGAGGAUCCGAGCGUUAUCCGGAUUUAUUGGGUUUAAAGGGAGCGUAGAUGGGUUGUUAAGUCAGUUGUGAAAGUUUGCGGCUCAACCGUAAAAUGGCAAUUGAUACUGGCAGCCUUGAGUACAGUAGAGGUAGGCGGAAUUCGUGGUGUAGCGGUGAAAUGCUUAGAGAUCACGAAGAACUCCAGUUGCGAAGGCAGCCUACUAAACUGCCACUGACAUUGAUGUUCGAAAGUGUGGGUAUCAAACAGGAUUAGAUACCCCUGUAGUC
rnacentral:rRNA from 1 species